AAUUCCCUCCACUCAUUAGAGGGAGCAAAAAUGUGGCUAAACCUUGUGUCCUUACUAGUACUCCUCAAAGGGGUCCAAUCUCAAGUCCAGUUGGUGGAGUCUGGAGGGGAUGUGAGAAGACCUGGAGAGUCCCUGCAUCUCUCCUGCCAAGGUUCUGGGUUUACCUUCGGAAACUACCACAUGGGCUGGGUGAGACAGGCUCCAGGGAAAGGACUGGAAUGGGUUGCAUUCAUCUAUACUGAUUCCAGUGGAAAGUUCUACUCAGACAAAGUGAAGGGCCGCUUCACCGUCUCCAGGGACAAUGCCAAAAGCCAGCUGUAUCUGCAAAUGAACAGCCUCAAAGCUGAAGACACGGCAGUCUAUUACUGUACAAGACACACAACAACACCCACCAACCUAAACCUUGUGCUAUUUGCUGAAUCUCCCCCUGUCAAUUCCCUCCAUUCAUUAGAGGGAGCAAAAAUGUGGCUAAACCUUGUGUCCUUACUAGUACUCCUCAAUGGGGUCCAAUCUCAAGUCCAGUUGGUGGAGUCUGGAGGGGAUGUGAGAAGACCUGGAGAGUCCAUCCGUCUCUCCUGCGAAGCCUCUGAAUUCACCUUCAGCAGCUAUGGCAUGAGCUGGGGAUCUCAAAAGAAUUUAAUUCCUCAAGACACCGAAAUCCUUACUGGGAAGCCCUACAGAUAA